rnacentral:rRNA from 1 species
GACGAACCGUGCGAACGUUGUUCGGAUUCACUGGGCUUAAAGGGCGCGUAGGCGGACAAUCAAGUCAGGGGUGAAAGCCUCCAGCUCAACUGGAGAAGUGCCUUUGAUACUGACUGUCUCGAGGGAGGUAGGGGCAUGUGGAACUUCCGGUGGAGCGGUGAAAUGCGUAGAUAUCGGAAGGAACGCCGGUGGCGAGAGCGACGUGCUGGACCUCUUCUGACGCUGAGGCGCGAAAGCUAGGGGAGCAAACGGG